UCAGCUCUAGUAACAGGGAUGUUGUAGUGUUGGUGGAGGUUAGGACUAGUAACAGGGAUGUUGGGGUGUUGGUGGAGGUUAGGACUAGUAACAGGGAUGUUGUAGUGUUGGUGGAGGUCGGGACUAGUAGCAGGGAUGUUGUAGUGUUGGUCGGGACUAGUAACAGGGAUGUUGUAGUGUUGGUGGAGGUUAGGAGUAGUAACAGGGAUGUUGUAGUAGUGUUGGAGGUCAGGAGUAGUAACAGGGAUGUUGUAGUGUUGGUGGAGGUUAGGAGUAGUAACAGGGAUGUUGUAGUGUUGGUGGAGGUUAGGAGUAGUAACAGGGAUGUUGUAGUGUUGUUGGAGGUCAGGAGUAGUAACAGGGAUGUUGUAGUGUUGGUGGAGGUUAGGAGGAGUAACGGAUGUUGUAGUGUUGGUGGAGGUUAGGAGUAGUAACAGGGAUGUUGUAGUGUUGGUGGAG
ensembl:lncRNA